GUGUGGAAUGCACUACCUCGGAAGACGGUGGAGGCCAAUUCUCUGGAUGCUUUCAAGAAGGAGCUGGAUAGAUAUCUGAUGGAUAGGGGAAUCAAGGGAUAUGGGGACAAGGCAGGGACUGGGUAUUGAUAGUGAAUGAUCAGCCAUGAUCUCAGAAUGCCGGUGCAGACUCGAGGGGCCGAAUGGUCUACUUCUGCACCUAUUGUCUAUUGUCUAUUGUCUGACAGAUCCCCAGGAGUGGGUUACAGACUGGGAUCUAAUCCAGGCGUUCAGAUGUUCUCCACAGCUGGUUUGAAUCGUUGAGUUGGCAAGGCUGCUGGAAUCUGUCAGUGUCUCUGUUGGCUUCAACGCAAACUCCUGCGGCCGUCUCUCCCUCCUCCCUCUGCGCAGCCACUCCGACUCCCUGCACACCUGCUCUGACACGCUGAACCUCGUCUGUUCCCUGUGACCCUCGUCCUCCCUCUCCCCCACCCUCUGCCUCCACAGGACGAUGACGGAGGCCCAGAUGUCGCCCGCGAGGCCCGGCCUGGUCGAACCGCCCGCAGACCGGAAACCCCUGGCACAGCU